rnacentral:rRNA from 1 species
AGUGAACGCUGGCGGUAGGCCUAACACAUGCAAGUCGAACGGCAGCACAGUAAGAGCUUGCUCUUACGGGUGGCGAGUGGCGGACGGGUGAGGAAUACAUCGGAAUCUACUUUUUCGUGGGGGAUAACGUAGGGAAACUUACGCUAAUACCGCAUACGACCUACGGGUGAAAGCAGGGGAUCUUCGGACCUUGCGCGAUUGAAUGAGCCGAUGUCGGAUUAGCUAGUUGGCGGGGUAAAGGCCCACCAAGGCGACGAUCCGUAGCUGGUCUGAGAGGAUGAUCAGCCACACUGGAACUGAGACACGGUCCAGACUCCUACGGGAGGCAGCAGUGGGGAAUAUUGGACGAUGGGCGCAAGCCUGAUCCAGCCAUACCGCGUGGGUGAAGAAGGCCUUCGGGUUGGAAAGCCCCUUUGUUGGGAAAGAAAAGCAGCAGGUUAAUACCCCGCUGUUCUGACGGUACCCAAAGAAUAAGCACCGGCUAACUUCGUG